rnacentral:misc_RNA from 1 species
UUUUGAAAAAAAAAAAAAAAGAUUGAUGUGAAUCAUCUGGAAUUUAGAUUUUACUUAGUGAAAAAGAAAUCUCACAGGUAUAUAACAAGUGGCCCUUGAAAAAAUUUAGCUAAUUACAAAGUUUGUGUAAAAAUCUUGCAGUUAUCUUUCUGCAUUGAAUAUAUUUGCUUCUUCUGUCUGGUUUUUGUAGAUUUAUCUUCUAUUCCAGUGCUGUCAAAAUUUCUCUGUUGUCAUGCUGAAUGACUGAAAAUUUCCACUCUGGACUUUUAUUGACUAUAAGGUAUAAGCUUUUCUUUGAAUAGGAACUGAGCUGCCUUGAUGUUGAUUUUGCUAGUAGUUUUGGGCCCAUCUACUAAUGCUGUGGUUUUGACUAUGUAAUCAUGUGCAUCUUCUCUGCAUGAGUUUCGGAUUUACAUUCAUCCCCGACUUA